rnacentral:rRNA from 1 species
GAUGAACGCUGGCGGCGUGCCUAAUACAUGCAAGUCGAGCGAACAGACGAGGAGCUUGCUCCUCUGACGUUAGCGGCGGACGGGUGAGUAACACGUGGAUAACCUACCUAUAAGACUGGGAUAACUUCGGGAAACCGGAGCUAAUACCGGAUAAUAUAUUGAACCGCAUGGUUCAAUAGUGAAAGACGGUUUUGCUGUCACUUAUAGAUGGAUCCGCGCCGCAUUAGCUAGUUGGUAAGGUAACGGCUUACCAAGGCAACGAUGCGUAGCCGACCUGAGAGGGUGAUCGGCCACACUGGAACUGAGACACGGUCCAGACUCCUACGGGAGGCAGCAGUAGGGAAUCUUCCGCAAUGGGCGAAAGCUUGACGGAGCAACGCCGCGUGAGUGAUGAAGGUCUUCGGAUCGUAAAACUCUGUUAUUAGGGAAGAACAAAUGUGUAAGUAACUAUGCACGUCUUGACGGUACCUAAUCAGAAAGCCGCGGCUAACUACGUG